rnacentral:snRNA from 1 species
GUGCUCGCUUCAGCAGCACAUAUACUAAAAUUGGAACACUACAGAGAAGAUUAGCAUGGCCCCUGUGUAAGGAUGACACCCAAAUUCGUGAAGCAUUCCAUAUUUUU